UACGUAGGGUCCGAGCGUUGUCCGGAAUCAUUGGGCGUAAAGAGCUCGUAGGCGGUUUGUCGCGUCUGCUGUGAAAUCCCGAGGCUCAACCUCGGGCCUGCAGUGGGUACGGGCAGACUGGAGUGCGGUAGGGGAGAAUGGAAUUCCUGGUGUAGCGGUGGAAUGCGCAGAUAUCAGGAGGAACACCGAUGGCGAAGGCAGUUCUCUGGGCCGUAACUGACGCUGAGGAGCGAAAGCGUGGGGAGCGAACAGG
rnacentral:rRNA from 1 species